rnacentral:rRNA from 1 species
CAAUAAGCGGAGGAAAAGAAACUAACAAGGAUUCCCCUAGUAACUGCGAGUGAAGCGGGAAAAGCUCAAAUUUAAAAUCUGGUGGUCUUUGGCCAUCCGAGUUGUAAUCUAGAGAAGUGUUAUCCGCGCUGGACCGUGUACAAGUCUCCUGGAAUGGAGCGUCAUAGAGGGUGAGAAUCCCGUCUUUGACACGGACUACCAGGGCUUUGUGAUGCGCUCUCAAAGAGUCGAGUUGUUUGGGAAUGCAGCUCAAAAUGGGUGGUAAAUUCCAUCUAAAGCUAAAUAUUGGCGAGAGACCGAUAGCGAACAAGUACCGUGAGGGAAAGAUGAAAAGAACUUUGGAAAGAGAGUUAAACAGUACGUGAAAUUGCUGAAAGGGAAACGCUUGAAGUCAGUCGCGUUGUCCGGGAAUCAACCUUGCUUUUGCUGGGCGUACUUUCCGGUUGACGGGUCAGCAUCAAUUUUGACCGUUGGAUAAAGUUCAGAGGAAUGUGGCAUCUUCGGAUGUGUUAUAGCCUUUGUUCGCAUACAACGGUUGGGAUUGAGGAACUCAGCACGCCGCAAGGCCGGGUAUUUAUACUACGUUCGUGCUUAGGAUGCUGGCAUAAUGGCUUUAAUCGACCCGUCUUGAAACACGGACCAAGGAGUCUAACAUGCCUGCGAGUGUUUGGGUGGAAAACCCGAGCGCGUAAUGAAAGUGAAAGUUGAGAUCCCUGUCGUGGGGAGCAUCGACGCCCGGACCAGACCUUUUGUGACGGAUCCGCGGUAGAGCAUGUAUGUUGGGACCCGAAAGAUGGUGAACUAUGCCUGAAUAGGGUGAAGCCAGAGGAAACUCUGGUGGAGGCUCGUAGCGAUUCUGACGUGCAAAUCGAUCGUCAAAUUUGGGUAUAGGGGCGAAAGACUAAUCGAAYCAU